UUUCCGUAGGUGAACCUGCGGAAGGAUCAUUAAUGAGUUGUCAUGGGGUUCGAUGCUGGCAGCCAAUUUUUGGAUGCAUGUGCUUGCCCUGACAAUCAUCUUCCAAACACCUGUGCACAUUUUUGAGGGAGUCUUGAGUUGGUUGCCGCUCUUGGGUGAUUUUCUCACAUUCCCUUAAAUCAUUAUACGCUAUUAACAAUGUUGAACGUGCUCUGUGCCGCAAGGCUAUUAAUAUAAUACAACUUUUAACAACGGAUCUCUUGGCUCUC
rnacentral:misc_RNA from 1 species